UACAGAGGUCCCAAGCGUUGUUCGGAUUUACUGGGCGUAAAGGGUGCGUAGGUGGUCGGGUAAGUCUGAUGUGAAAUCUCCGAGCUUAACUCGGAAAUGGCAUUGGAUACUAUCCGGCUUGAGGAUGGGAGGGGAGACUGGAAUGCUCGGUGUAGCAGUGAAAUGCGUAGAUAUCGAGCGGAACACCAGUGGCGAAGGCGAGUCUCUGGACCAUUCCUGACACUGAGGCACGAAAGCCAGGGGAG
rnacentral:rRNA from 1 species